rnacentral:rRNA from 2 species
CUGGUGUCAGCCGCCGCGGUAAUACCAGCACCUCGAGUGGUCAGGACGUUUAUUGGGCCUAAAGCAUCCGUAGCCGGCUCUGCAAGUCUUCGGUUAAAUCCACCUGCUCAACAGAUGGGCUGCUGGAGAUACUACAGAGCUAGGGAGUGGGAGAGGCAGACGGUAUUCAGUGGGUAGGGGUAAAAUCCUCUGAUCCAUUGAGGACCACCAGUGGCGAAGGCGGUCUGCCAGAACACGUUCGACGGUGAGGGAUGAAAGCUGGGGGAGCAAACCGGAUUAGAUACCCGGGUAGUCCCAGCUGUAAACGAUGCAAACUCGGUGAUGCAUUGGCUUAUGGCCAAUGCAGUGCCGCAGGGAAGCCGUUAAGUUUGCCGCCUGGGAAGUACGGACGCAAGUCUGAAACUUAAAG